rnacentral:rRNA from 1 species
AACGGAGAAUCAGGGUUCGAUUCCGGAGAAGGAGCUUGAGAAUUGGCUACUACAUCUAAGGAAGGCAGCAGGCGCGCAAUUACCCAAUCCCGAUUCGGGGAGGUAGUGACAAAAAAUAACAAUACCGGGCCCUUUUGGGCUUGGUAAUUGGAAUGAGGGAGAGUUAAACGGACCAUCGAGUAUCCAUUGGAGGGCAAGUCUGGUGCCAGCAGCUGCGGUAAUACCAGCUCCAAUAGCGUAUAUUAAAGUUGUUGCAGUUAAAAAGCUCGUAGUUGGACUUGUGUGCGCUGUCCGCGGGUGGCCUGCGCCCAAAAGGGCGUUUCGGUUCGGCCCCGGUGGCGCCUUGAAAUCUGCAGCUGGGGGGACGUUGGCCUUAACUGGUCGGCGACCGCACGCCGGCUGCUCGGUUACUGUGAGAAAAUUAGAGUGUUCAAGGCAGGCAUUGGGUGCAAUUGAAUACAUUAGCAUGGAAUAAUAAAAUAUGGCUCCUGCCGUAUUUUGUUGGUUUUGACUGGUGGGAGUAAUGAUUGAUAGGGACGGUUGGGGGUGCUAGUAUUGAGCGGCCAGAGGUGAAAUUCAUGGAUUCGCUCAAGACUAACUUAUGCGAAAGCAUUCACCAAGGACGUCCUCUUUAAUCAAGAACGAAAGUUGGGGGAUCGAAGACGAUCAGAUACCGUCGUAGUCUCAACCAUAAACUAUGUCGACUUGGGAUCGGCGGUAGUUUUUUCAUUAAGACACUGUCGGGACCACGGGAGAAAUCAAAGUGUCUGGACUCUGGGGGAAGUAUGGUCGCAAGGCUGAAACUUGAAGGAAUUGACGGAAGGGCACCACCAGGAGUGGAGCCUGCGGCUUAAUUUGACCCAACACGGGGAAACUUACCAGGUCCAGAGAUGUAGAGGAUUGACAGAUUGAAGCUCUUUCUUGAUCACUCCGGUGGUGGUGCAUGGCCGUUCUUAGUUGGUGGAGUGAUUUGUCUGGUUAAUUCCGUUAACGAACGAGACCUCAGCCUGCUAGUGUAGUCGGCUGGAUUGCCUUUGGCGAUCCGUGAUUUCGACUUCUUAGAGGGACAAUCGACGCGCAGUCGAUGGAAGUUUGAGGCAAUAACAGGUCUGUGAUGCCCUUAGAUGUUCUGGGCCGCACGCGCGCUACACUGCUGGGCUCAGCGAGUUUUACUUGGCCAAGAGGCCCGGUUAAUCUUGUGAAAUCCCAGCGUGCUUGGGCUCGCCUCCUGCAACUGGAGGCGCCAACGAGGAAUUCCUAGUAGACGCAGGUCAUCAACCUGCAUCGAUUACGUCCCUGCCCUUUGUACACACCGCCCGUCGUUCCAUAAGAGUGAGGCAUCCGGUGAAUUCUCGGGAGAGCCUGGGCGUGGCCAGCAAUGGUCUGCUCGGGUUUGAACUUGCAUAAACUUGGUGCCUAUGAUUAGGGAAAAGUCGUAACAAGGUU